UACAAGAUGUGUCAGCCCCAUCUUGUAAAUUCUGUUUCAGCAUUUCUCUGAGAAUUUCUGGCUCCUUUAAGUGGAGAAUGGUGUUAGAAACCAAGGUGUAGGUGCUGGAUGGGCUCAUUGUUUCUAGGUGUCAUUGCUUCCAGGCCCUGUCAGUGCAUAUAGGAAAUAUGUAUAAAUACUAACCCACACAUGCACACAAGUCUAAAAUUAUUUCUGUAUCUACCCAUCCCUAUAUCAAGCUAAACAUGCAUUUAUACUAAUGGAUCUGACUCUAAUCUACUGGCCCUUUAUUUUUAAUAAUGUAUUUUUUUCUGGUACCAGGAAUCAAACUCAGGACCUUACGCUUGCCAGGCAGGUGUGGUGCCACUGAGCUACAUCCCCAGCCCCAUUUUGGGGGGUGGUGCUGGGGAUUGAACUUGGGUCCUUGUGCUUGUGAGAGAGGAGAGACAACCACCAGACUCCGGAGGAUAAAAAAUGGUGAUGUUCGCUGCCUGCUGUUUGCUGCCUUCUGCCUGCUUUGCCAUGGACUGUUUAUCCUCUCGUAUAUCCCUCUGCCAUGCCACCCUGCUUUGGAACCAGCCAAUUGUGGACUGAAACCUCUAGAAACUGUGAGCUGAAACAAAUGUUUCCUCCUGAAAAAAAAAAUGUGGUGCUUGCUGCACAUUGCUCUUGCCACUAACCAUUGAUGAGAGAAGGCAAUGAGUGUAGAAGAUGAAUUGAUGAUCUGCUUGUCAAUUAUGCCCGUUUAAUGCCAGAGCUCACCUUCUAGAAUAAAGACUUUCACAUCACAGGUUUCAUAUCUAUAAUAGCUAUUG
rnacentral:lncRNA from 1 species